UACGAAGGGGGCUAGCGUUGUUCGGCAUUACUGGGCGUAAAGCGCACGUAGGCGGGUCGUUAAGUCAGGGGUGAAAUCCUGGAGGUCAACUCCGGAACUGCCUUUGAUACUGGCGAUCUAGAGAUAGAGAGAGGUUAGUGGAAGUCCGAGUGUAGAGGUGAAAUUCGUAGAUAUUCGUAAGAACACCAGUGGCGAAGGCGGCUCACUGGCUCGAUACUGACGCUGAGGUGCGAAAGCGUGGGGAGCAAAUAGG
rnacentral:rRNA from 1 species